AAACUCCGUGAUAGCUGGUUCUCCCCGAAAUGCAUUUAGGUGCAGCGUCGCGUGUUUCUUACCGGAGGUAGAGCUACUGGAUGGCCGAUGGGCCCCACAGGGUUACUGACGUCAGCCAAACUCCGAAUGCCGGUAAGUCCAAGAACGCGGCAGUGAGACGGCGGGGGAUAAGCUCCGUGCGUCGAGAGGGAAACAGCCCAGAUCGCCGGCUAAGGCCCCUAAGCGUGUGCUAAGUGGAAAAGGAUGUGCAGUCGCAAAGACAACCAGGAGGUUGGCUUAGAAGCAGCCACCCUUGAAAGAGUGCGUAAUAGCUCACUGGUCAAGUGAUUGUGCGCCGAUAAUGUAGCGGGGCUCAAGCACACCGCCGAAGCCGCGGCAACGCAAGUUUUGCGUUGGGUAGGGGAGCGUCCUGCAUCCGGUGAAGCCACGGAGUGAUCCAGUGGUGGAGGGUGUGGGAGUGAGAAUGCAGGCAUGAGUAGCGAUAAGGCAAGUGAGAACCUUGCCCGCCGAAAGACCAAGGGUUCCUGGGGCAGGCCAGUCCGCCCAGGGUGAGUCGGGACCUAAGGCGAGGCCGACAGGCGUAGUCGAUGGACAACGGGUUGAUAUUCCCGUACCCGUGUGUGAGCGCCCAAUGACGAAUCAUCGGUACUAACCGCCCAAAAGGUGACUAACCGAGUCCUUUUAGGACAAGGGGGUCGCCGGCUGCGCGGGACCUUCGGUGGUAGUAGUCAAGCGAUGGGGUGACGCAGGAAGGUAGCCGUACCAGUCAGUGGUAAUACUGGGGCAAACCUGUAGCGCGAGAUCUAGGCAAAUCCGGAUCUCUUCAUGCGUGAGAGGUGAUGCAUAGCCGAGUGAGGCGAAUUCGGUGAUCCUCAGCUGCCGAGAAAAGCCUCUAGCGAGCACACACACGGCCCGUACCCCAAACCAACACAGGUGGUCAGGUAGAGAAUACCGAGGCGUACGAGUGAACUAUGGUUAAGGAACUCGGCAAAAUACCCCCGUAACUUCGGGAGAAGGGGGACCCCCUGCGGUCAAGGCCCACGCGGCCGGCAGCGGCGGGGGGUGGCACAAACCAGUGAGAAGCGACUGUUUACUAAAAACACAGGUCCGUGCGAAGUCGCAAGACGAUGUAUACGGACUGACGCCUGCCCGGUGCUGGAAGGUUAAGAGGACCGGUUAGCCGUAAGGCGAAGCUGAGAAUUUAAGCCCCAGUAAACGGCGGUGGUAACUAUAACCAUCCUAAGGUAGCGAAAUUCCUUGUCGGGUAAGUUCCGACCUGCACGAAUGGCGUAACGACUUCUCAACUGUCUCAACCAUAGACUCGGCGAAAUUGCACUACGAGUAAAGAUGCUCGUUACGCGCGGCAGGACGAAAAGACCCCGGGACCUUCACUAUAGCUUGGUAUUGGCGUUCGAUACGGUUUGUGUAGGAUAGGUGGGAGACUAUGAAACUCACACGCCAGUGUGGGUGGAGUCGUUGUUGAAAUACCACUCUGAUCGUAUUGGACUUCUAACCUCGAACCGUCUAUCCGGUUCAGGGACAGUGCCUGGUGGGUAGUUUAACUGGGGCGGUUGCCUCCUAAAAUGUAACGGAGGCGCCCAAAGGUUCCCUCAACCUGGACGGCAAUCAGGUGUUGAGUGCAAGUGCACAAGGGAGCUUGACUGCGAGACUGACACGUCAAGCAGGGACGAAAGUCGGGACUAGUGAUCCGGCACCCCCGAGUGGAAGGGGUGUCGCUCAACGGAUAAAAGGUACCCCGGGGAUAACAGGCUGAUCUUCCCCAAGAGUCCAUAUCGACGGGAUGGUUUGGCACCUCGAUGUCGGCUCGUCGCAUCCUGGGGCUGGAGUAGGUCCCAAGGGUUGGGCUGUUCGCCCAUUAAAGCGGCACGCGAGCUGGGUUUAGAACGUCGUGAGACAGUUCGGUCUCUAUCCGCCGCGCGCGUCAGAAGCUUGAGGAAACCUGUCCCUAGUACGAGAGGACCGGGACGGACGAACCUCUGGUCCACCAGUUGUCCCACCAGGGGCACCGCUGGAUAGCCACGUUCGGACAGGAUAACCGCUGAAAGCAUCUAAGCGGGAAACCUUCUCCAAGACCAGGCUUCU
rnacentral:rRNA from 1 species